UACAUGGGGUGCAAACGUUGCUCGGAAUUAUUGGGCGUAAAGCGCGCGUAGGCGGUUAUCUAAGUCGGGUGUGAAAGCCCUCGGCUUAACUGAGGAAGUGCACCCGAAACUGGGUAGCUAGAGUACUAAAGAGGGUCGCGGAAUUCCCGGUGUAGAGGUGAAAUUCGUAGAUAUCGGGAGGAACACCGGUGGCGAAGGCGGCGACCUGGGUAGAUACUGACGCUGAGGCGCGAAAGCGUGGGGAGCAAACAGG
rnacentral:rRNA from 1 species